UACAACCAUAUCAUGUUGGAACAUUGGUUCCCGUACGAUUACCGAAGUUAAGCAACGCCGAGCCUGGUCAGUAUCUAGAUGGGUGACCACUUGGGAAUACAAUGUGCUGUAAG